UGGAAAAUAGUUUAAUUUAAAAACAUUAUUUUGCAAAAAUAAGGAUAAAAUUAUUUAAAAUUUUUUUUCUUU
rnacentral:tRNA from 1 species